rnacentral:rRNA from 1 species
CGCGAAUGGCUCAUUACAACAGCUAUAAUUUACUUGAAUUUGACAACCCUACUUGGAUACCGGUGGUAAUUCUAGCGCUAAUACAUGCACCAAAGCUCCGACCGCGAGGGAAGAGCGCAUUUAUUAGAACAAAACCACACGGCUUCGGCGUCCAAUGUUGACUCAGAAUAACUAAGCUGAUCGCAUGGUCUUGCACCGGCGACGUUUCUUUCAAGUAUCUGCCUUAUCAACUUUCGAUGGUAGUGUAUCUGACUACCAUGGUGAUGACGGGUAACGGAGGAUAAGGGUUCGACUCCGGAGAAGGGGCCUGAGAAAUGGCCACUACGUCUAAGGAUGGCAGCAGGCGCGCAAAUUACCCACCCUCAGUACGAGGAGGUAGUGACGAGAAAUAACAAGACCGUUCUCUAAAGAGGCCGGUCAUUGGAAUGGGUACAAUUUAAACCCUUUAACGAGUAUCUAUGAGAGGGCAAGUCUGGUGCCAGCAGCCGCGGUAAUUCCAGCU